rnacentral:lncRNA from 1 species
AAGGAGAGAGACAGUCAUUCUACAAACUUGGAUGGAACAUCUGUUCAUUUUUUCCCCUCUGGUAUAUUAUCACAGCUACAGAAACAAACAAAACUAGUGCCUAGUGCCAACUGAUAAAUCUAAAAACAGCUCCUGCAGCAAAGCUCAUGAUCCUCAUGGAAGAGGGGACACAGAGACUGUAAGAGCCAUAAGGUCAGGGAGUUUGCUGUGAGACUGUCUCCUAAUGUUAGAUAAGCUACACCCAUGAAGUCUCAUCAACAUGGCUGCCUAAAUAAGACCCAAACAAGGACAACACCAACAGAUAUGAUGGCCUCAGCACUACACAAAGAACUACUGACAACCAAGGAAUGACGAGAUUGGGAGAAACAGCAGAUGCCAAUUUGUAUCCAACCAAUACCAAGUGGCAUCACUGGGAAUCUUGGAACAUGUUCCUGCAGAUAUGGGGAACCUACCACACCAGCACAGAAGGGGCUCAAUUCUCUAUGUGCCAGCCUUGUCUAAAAGUGUUUUGAGUUGCAAGCAGACGUGAAUGGCUAUCAGAGUUCACUCACAUUUACCCACAGUCACCUCUGCACUGGAGAAACAGCUGGCUGAGAGGAUGUGGGCAUAGAAAUGCAAAGAGAGGGGAGCAGAGAGUGGAGGAAUGGACCCUCUUGUUCUGGGGUAGCAUGGGAGAACUUCUGUACCCAAAGAUCAAGGAAUACCAGGGUAAGUAUGCCAGCCUCAGAGUGGCCCAAGUCACAUGACAUUGCUCAUCAACUCCAGUUUUA